rnacentral:lncRNA from 1 species
CGAUUUAUCACCUGAUUAAAAUGUUCAUAUCUUCUUUAAUCCAUAAUAUAUAUAUAUAUAUUUUUUUUUUUUUAUCUGAAUAAAGUCAUACUCAAAAUAAAUUUUGAUUAUUAUUAAAAAUAUUAUAGUAUAUUUCUGCUUUAUUUGAAAGGAUGAUGUCUGAUUAAAAGUUUCCAAAGUUUUCUAAAUGAAUUCUGAAUCUAUCAAUGGGUAGAUUACGAUAUUUUCAAUGCAAGUUCGUUUGGAAUUUCUUUGCUGGUCCUAACCGCAAAGUUUCGAUUAAUGAGAAUUAUAAAAAUAUGAACUAUAUCCGUAAGUUUAUGGACGUAAACGUGGUUAAGAAACUUGUCUGUAAUAUCUCUAACAAUAAACACCCUUUUUAUCAAACUGCUAAUUCUAAAUCUUUGUAUGAAAUCGAAUAACGAUCGCCAUUUAAUUUGCAUCUUUCUCCCUUCAGAAUGCUGACGUCACAGAUGAAUUAUUCAUAUUCCAGAAAUCAAAAAAACGCUCCAUAAAUUAAUACGUUUGUUGAUAAUAUUGUCUGCUUUUUACGUAAUUUGUCCAAUGACGGAACUUACGAUUCCUCUGGCCUUAUGCCAAAGCGAUGACGAAAUUCGGCACAACCAACAAACUACUCAAGUUACAAUUCUUUCCAUUAUUAUUAUUAUUAUUCCGUUUGUUUCUAUUAUUUUGUAUACUUAAAGAUCGGAAAUCUGUAAUUCAGUUAGAAUAAAGGGUAUAGGAAAUGAUUUUCGAACGAUGAUUAAUAAGUUUGUGUUAAGAAAUUUCUAGCUGUCGAUGGCUGAAAAACAAUGAGAACGAUAAUUAUGAUAAUUAUUCAAUCGUAAUUUUCCGAAUGAAUGAAGGUUAAGUCAUUUUUAGUACACCGUUCGAAAGUAUGGCAAGCGUAAAAUACGUCAUCAAAACAAUGAGAAAAACACCGUUAACAAAUUUUUCCACUCAUUGUAAACGUAACGAGAUACUCGAAUGGCUAUUCACUUUCUAUAUUUCUUUACUGUACUUCAUUGUCUCUACUCUGGUGUGAAAAUACUUCUACCGCCGGCCAUAGAAAUAAAUAUGAUUAUUCUCGAAAAAUUUCGAAAAUGUAUAUACAA